rnacentral:rRNA from 1 species
UACGUAGGGUGCAAGCGUUGUCCGGAAUUAUUGGGCGUAAAGAGCUCGUAGGCGGUUUGUUGCGUCGGCUGUGAAAACCCGCAGCUCAACUGUGGGCUUGCAGCUGAUACGGGCAGGCUUGAGUUCGGUAGGGGAGACUGGAAUUCCUGGUGUAGCGGUGAAAUGCGCAGAUAUCAGGAGGAACACCGAUGGCGAAGGCAAUCCCCUGGACCUGUACUGACGCUCAUGCACGAAAGCGUGGGGAGCAAACAGG